AUAAAAAAAGAGAACAUAACAGAACCUAUUAAAACUACCCACUACCACUGUUGUUUUCUAAAAACCCUUGUGUGACCAUGUAUUUCUCUCCCUCUUCGUUACUUUUCUGAAAAACAGCGCCCUUGCUAUGCUCUUCUCUUCUUCCAACUCCGUUUUCGUCUUCACACAAACAACACUAGAUCACACUAUAAUAAUACAUGGUUUUGAAGGAGGAUUUUGGCAUUCAAGCGGUUGGAUAAUUUUAGGAAUUAGGGUUUGUGCUAUGAGGAAGGAGAGGAGUAUCAACUGCAGAAUUGCUUUUUUGAUUUCAUAGAGAUUCGUUGGCUAGCGGUUCGUUCGGUUGGCGUGGAGCUGUUGAGAGCGGUUCAAUUGAUUCGUCUUUGUUAUUCACAGGCAACUAAGUAGUAAGCUGGUGUCAGAUUCAGAUCGUUCAAUUUAUCUUAUUGGUAGGCCUCCUUUGGUUGGUGGCUCGAUUGGUGUCUUGUAAUUGUUUCUAGUUAUCUGCAGCUAUAGGGGGUCUUAGGUGUAUUGAUUCUGAAUCGUUAUCUAUUAUUUUAUUUAAAAAUGUACCGUAGUGAUGAAAUUGGAAUUUGUGUUUUUAUGGAAUUUCUGGUUAUGAUGAAAACCAACUGACAGGUUUAUUGUUUUGGAAAUGUUGAUAUUGUAACGGAGGUUCUGUUGAACUAUUAUAAAAUAUAAAGAAACAUGUGUAUAGUUUGGAAAA